rnacentral:rRNA from 1 species
AUACGGAGGAUCCGAGCGUUAUCCGGAUUUAUUGGGUUUAAAGGGUGCGCAGGCGGCCAUUUAAGUCAGCGGUUAAAUCGUGGGGCUCAACCCCAUUCUGCCGUUGAUACUGGGUGGCUUGAUUGCGGUCGAGGUUGGCGGAAUUCGUUGUGUAGCGGUGAAAUGCAUAGAUAUGACGAAGAACACCGAUUGCGUAGGCAGCUGACCAGACCGCAAAUGACGCUCAUGCACGUAAGUGCGGGGAUCGAACAGGAUUAGAUACCCUGGUAGUCCGCACAGUAAACGAUGAAUACUUGUUUUCGGCGAUAUAAUGUCGGAGGCAAAGCGAAAGCGAUAAGUAUUCCACCUGGGGAGUACGCCGGCAACGGUGAAACUCAAAGGAAUUGACGGGG